GACAGAGGAGCCAAGCGUUGUCCGGAUUGACUGGGCGUAAAGCGCACGCAGGCGGUCGCGCGCGUGGGGUGUGAAAACUGGCGGCUUAACUGCCAGAGGCCAUCCCAUACGGCGCAACUCGAGCCAUGCAGAGGUCCACGGAAUUGCCGGUGUAGUGGUGAAAUGCGUAGAUAUCUGCAGGAACACCGGUGGCGAAGGCGGCAUCCUGGACCGGUAUUGACGCUGAGGCGCGGAAAGCCAGGGGAGCAAACGGG
rnacentral:rRNA from 1 species